rnacentral:rRNA from 1 species
AACGAACGCUGGCGGCAGGCCUAACACAUGCAAGUCGAGCGGACCCUUCGGGGUUAGCGGCGGACGGGUGAGUAACGCGUGGGAACGUGCCCUUUGCUUCGGAAUAGCCCUGGGAAACUGGGAGUAAUACCGGAUACGCCCUUUUGGGGAAAGAUUUAUCGGCGAAGGAUCGGCCCGCGUUGGAUUAGGUAGUUGGUGGGGUAAUGGCCUACCAAGCCGACGAUCCAUAGCUGGUUUGAGAGGAUGAUCAGCCACACUGGGACUGAGACACGGCCCAGACUCCUACGGGAGGCAGCAGUGGGGAAUCUUAGACAAUGGGGGAAACCCUGAUCUAGCCAUGCCGCGUGAGCGAUGAAGGCCUUAGGGUUGUAAAGCUCUUUCACCGGGGAAGAUAAUGACGGUACCCGGAGAAGAAGCCCCGGCUAACUCCGU